UGCAACAUAAUUUUUGCAUGUAAGGGCGGAAUUCAAAAGUGCAUUAUGUGCAGACAGAGAAAUGCAAAGUUUUUGACUACCUUACACAACACUAAGUACCGAUAAGUAUACUGUUAAAGUACCGGACCGUUAAGCAGUAUCGGUAAGAGUAGUAAUACCGUUAAAACCUUAAUGAUACCCAUCCCUAAGUGCGAGUACAGGAAGAAGUAGAGAGAGCAAAAUACCAGAUGAUGUGAUAGUAAAUAAGAAAAGAUUUGUACUGUUUAUGGUAAAAGUAAUAAACUGUACAGCACAAACCGAAAGGAGAACAGAAAAGAUACAGAUAAUUGUCAAAGCAGCAGAAAGAUUCCUAAAUAUUAAAGGACUGAAAUUUGAGGAGGUAAUGAGAAGUCUAAUCAAUACAGAAUCUCAGUUUAGUCAGGAGAUAUGGGUUGGUUAAUAAUUAUGUAUAAUUAAGUAUCCUUCAGUGGAAUGCCAGAAGCCUUUGUGCAAAUGGACAAGAAUUUAAAGGAUAUAUAAAUGAAAUGAGUGAAAAUAUGUGUUCAAGAAACUUGCUUGAAGCCCAGAUUAGAUUUUGUGUUAAAAGGAUAUAUAAGUGUGAGAAGGGAUAGGGAAGAAAGGAAUGGUGGAGGAUGUAUGAAUUUUAAUAGGGGAGGAGUGGUGUAUAGAGUUCUGGAGAAGGGAACAGUAAUGGAGUACAUAAGUAUUGAGAUAUGGAUUGGAAAAAAUAUGUAUGUAAUAAAACAAUUCUACAAUCCAUGUAAAAGACUAAAAUUAGAACGUAUGGAAGGUAUUAAAGGGAUAAAUGAAGAUAGAGUAGUAUGGUGUGGAGAUUUUAACACCCAUACUACAUUGUGGGGAGGUCUAAAAACUGAUAAUAAUGGGAGGGUCAUUGAAGAGGUAAUGGAGAGGAAAAAUUUAGUCUGCAUUAAUGAUGGUAGUUAUACCUGUAUGGAGUUAAAUUCAGGUAAUAGAUCAGCAAUAGAUAUAACAAUAGUGUCAAAUUCGAUAGGAGCAAUAACAAACUGGCAAGUAUUGAAGAACUGUUCAGUGGGAAGCGAACAUUUCCCAAUAAUAAGUGCUUUUGGAAAUUGUGAGAGAGGGAAAGGAAAACAAGGAAAUAUAGUUAAAUGGAAAUAUGAGAAAGCAGAUUGGGAAAACUUUGAAUUAAUUAGUGAGGUAAGAUUAAAAAUGAUCAAGUUUAAUGAGGAAAUAGUAAUUGAAAAUAAGUAUGCAGAACUAGUAGAAGGGAUACAGAGUGAAGCAAAUGAAAACAUCCCGAUAAGGAAGGGGAUCGGAUGUGACAAAUAGUCCCAUGGUGGAUUGAGAAAUGUUUAAUAGCAAUUAGAAAGAAAAGGAAAGCACUCAAGGUACUGAAGACAACACAUAAUUGGGAAAAUGUAAUAUGGUAUAAAAAAAAAAGCCAGGCAGAAACUAGGAGGGUAAUAAGUUACUUACAUUAAUUAAUACAGAUUUUAUUAAUGAUGCAAGAGACAAAUAAGAGGGUUCAAUUUUUGUGGGUUCCAGCACACAUUGGAGUGUUAGGGAAUGAAGAAGCUGACAAAUUAGCGAAGCAAGCCAUGGCAAAAGAAAAUAAAGAUAUGGACAUUAAGCAUAGUAAAGAAGAAGUCAAAUCAAUUAUUAAAAGGGAGAUAUAUAAAAAAAUUGCUAAAGUAUUGGGACAAUGAAAGUAAAGGAAGACUACUUCAUUCAGUUCAACCACUGGUAGGAAGGGGAACGAGUUUGAGUAGGAAAAGGAAAGAGGAUUGCAUUCAAUCAAGACUGAGAUUGGGGCAUACAGGUCUUAACUCAACAAUGCAUUUAAUAGGAAAACAUCCUAAUGGUAUGUGUGACAGGUGUGGAGUAAGACAAACAGUGGAACAUGUAAUUAUAGACUGCAGUAAAAAUGGAGAAGAAAGAAAGACAUUAAUGGGAGAAAUGCAGAAGGAAGGUGAUCAACGGGUAGCAUUAGAGGAUAUUCUGAAUCCGGUAGGCAACCAAGUUAAAACAUAGAAUAUAGGAAGGUUUUUUUUUUUUUUUUAUAAUUAGUGUGGGCGGAAGGGAAUUGGGCUUUUAAUGGAGGAGCUGAAACACACAGCAACAUGAACGAUUCCCAUCUAGCCACUAUAGUGAGGAUUUAAGUCUCUGAUCCAUUGCCUACAGUAGAUGGCGGUAACACUCUGAAAAAGAAUGUGAACCACCAAUAAGCACGAAGAAGAAGACACGAAGACACAAAAUUUCCAACUGGCAUGCACUGCUUCAAGUCAGACGGCGAUCAGUUUGCGCAGUUCUGCAUGAAGUCGAACGCACCUAAUGUUUUUUUAUAAAUGGUUCUUUGAAUCAUUAGGCUCGUUCGACUUGAAGCGGGUCAUCAUCAUCAGACAGGAUUGGUGUGUGACA